rnacentral:rRNA from 1 species
ACAUCCAGAGAACUUAGCAGAGAUGCUUUGGUGCCUUCGGGAACUCUGAGACAGGUGCUGCAUGGCUGUCGUCAGCUCGUGUUGUGAAAUGUUGGGUUAAGUCCCGCAACGAGCGCAACCCUUAUCCUUUGUUGCCAGCGGUUCGGCCGGGAACUCAAAGGAGACUGCCGGUGAUAAACCGGAGGAAGGUGGGGAUGACGUCAAGUCAUCAUGGCCCUUACGGCCAGGGCUACACACGUGCUACAAUGGCGCAUACAAAGAGAAGCGACCUCGCGAGAGCAAGCGGACCUCAUAAAGUGCGUCGUAGUCCGGAUUGGAGUCUGCAACUCGACUCCAUGAAGUCGGAAUCGCUAGUAAUCGUAGAUCAGAAUGCUACGGUGAAUACGUUCCCGGGCCUUGUACACACCGCCCGUCACACCAUGGGAGUGGGUUGCAAAAGAAGUAGGUAGCUUAACCUUCGGGAGGGCGCUUACCACUUUGUGAUUCAUGACUGGGGUGAAGUCGUAACAAGGUAGGCGUAGUGCU